GUUCGCAGCCGCCGCCGCGCCGCCGUCGCUCUCCAACGCCAGCGCCGCCUCUCGCUCGCCGAGCUCCAGCCGAAGGAGAAGGGGGGUAAGUAAGGAGGUCUCUGUACCAUGGCUCGUACAAAGCAGACUGCCCGCAAAUCGACCGGUGGUAAAGCACCCAGGAAGCAACUGGCUACAAAAGCCGCUCGCAAGAGUGCGCCCUCUACUGGAGGGGUGAAGAAACCUCAUCGUUACAGGCCUGGUACUGUGGCGCUCCGUGAAAUUAGACGUUAUCAGAAGUCCACUGAACUUCUGAUUCGCAAACUUCCCUUCCAGCGUCUGGUGCGAGAAAUUGCUCAGGACUUUAAAACAGAUCUGCGCUUCCAGAGCGCAGCUAUCGGUGCUUUGCAGGAGGCAAGUGAGGCCUAUCUGGUUGGCCUUUUUGAAGACACCAACCUGUGUGCUAUCCAUGCCAAACGUGUAACAAUUAUGCCAAAAGACAUCCAGCUAGCACGCCGCAUACGUGGAGAACGUGCUUAAGAAUCCACUAUGAUGGGAAACAUUUCAUUCUCAAAAAAAAAAAAAAAAUUUCUCUUCUUCCUGUUAUUGGUAGUUCUGAACGUUAGAUAUUUUUUUUCCAUGGGGUCAAAAGGUACCUAAGUAUAUGAUUGCGAGUGGAAAAAUAGGGGACAGAAAUCAGGUAUUGGCAGUUUUUCCAUUUUCAUUUGUGUGUGAAUUUUUAAUAUAAAUGCGGAGACGUAAAGCAUUAAUGCAAGUUAAAAUGUUUCAGUGAACAAGUUUCAGCGGUUCAACUUUAUAAUAAUUAUAAAUAAACCUGUUAAAUUUUUCUGGACAAUGCCAGCAUUUGGAUUUUUUUAAAACAAGUAAAUUUCUUAUUGAUGGCAACUAAAUGGUGUUUGUAGCAUUUUUAUCAUACAGUAGAUUCCAUCCAUUCACUAUACUUUUCUAACUGAGUUGUCCUACAUGCAAGUACAUGUUUUUAAUGUUGUCUGUCUUCUGUGCUGUUCCUGUAAGUUUGCUAUUAAAAUACAUUAAACUAUAAAAAAAAAAAAAAGAAAA